rnacentral:misc_RNA from 1 species
UACGUACCGUACGAACGUUAUUCGGAAUUAUUGGGCUUAAAGGGUGCGUAGGCGGUGCGGAAAGUUGGGUGUGAAAUCCCUCGGCUCAACCGGGGAAUAGCGCCCAAAACUACCGUGCUAGAGGGAGACAGAGGUAAGCGGAACUUCGGGUGGAGCGGUGAAAUGCGUUGAUAUCCGAAGGAACACCGGUGGCGAAAGCGGCUUACUGGGUCUCUUCUGACGCUGAGGCACGAAAGCUAGGGUAGCGAACGGG